rnacentral:rRNA from 1 species
GACGAACGCUGGCGGCGUGCUUAACACAUGCAAGUCGAACGGAAAGGCCCUGCUUGCAGGGUGCUCGAGUGGCGAACGGGUGAGUAACACGUGGGUGAUCUGCCCCUUACUUUGGGAUAAGCCUGGGAAACUGGGUCUAAUACUGGAUAGGACCAUGCUGUAGGUGGUGUGGUGGAAAGAUUAGUUUCGGUAAGGGAUGAGCUCGCGGCCUAUCAGCUUGUUGGUGGGGUAAUGGCCUACCAAGGCGUCGACGGGUAGCCGGCCUGAGAGGGUGGACGGCCGCAUUGGGACUGGGAUACGGCCCAGACUCCUACGGGAGGCAGCAGUGGGGAAUAUUGCACAAUGGGCGCAAGCCUGAUGCAGCGACGCCGCGUGGGGGAUGACGGCCUUCGGGUUGUAAACUCCUUUCAGCCAUGACGAAGCCCUUGUGGUGACGGUAGUGGUAGAAGAAGCACCGGCUAACUACGUG